UUAGAAUUUGCUAUUUUCCCCUUUAUUUUCAUGAGAUUUGAAUCAUAACUAGCUAGAAUGGUAUUCGUGAAGUUGGUCUUUCUUUUAAUUUCGAUCCUUUACAUCUUCACCGUGACAUCAGCGAUGGAUCACCCGAACAGAAGACUCAUUUUGAACAGAAACGAGCUACAAUCCCUUAUGGGGGAAACGAAAAGGAACCAGCCAAGAAAACAUAUCAAUUUCAAGUAUUUACAGCCGGCCUAUUCCCCGUUGGGAUUUAAAUUUUGAGAAAGCAACGUUUUUAUUAAACGUUACUAAUAUUAGAACUUGAGGAUGAAUUAAAUGGGGACGGGAGAGGGACGGAGCUAUGUAGGUUGUAUAGCUCCGUCCCUCUCGCACUGCUCAAUGAUCGACCAUUCUGACACAAUUGUAAUAGCAGACUAAGGCCCCUGUUCAUCCGUGAUCAUGGCGCUUGCAACAGUGCCGAAAUAUCGGAAACUCGUAAACAUAAAUAAACAUGGUAAAUAUCCCGUCUCAAGUUCUAAUGUUAGCGUUAGUGACCAUGUCAGUUUAAAAACUUAUAUUACUUAUUAAACGGUUAUAUUUAGUUGAA